ensembl:lncRNA
AUGUGACAGCUCAAUGAAGUAGAAAGAGCUCUGAAUCAGCAGUCCGGAAAACCUGGUUUUAUGUUCUAAGUCUGCCUCUAACUAACCAUGUGACCCAAGGUGGGUCUUGGGUUGAACUAGAUGGUCAUCAAAGAUCCCUUUCAACUUGAAAACACCCACAAGUGUGUGUGUGUGUGUGUGUGUGUGUGUGUGUGUUUGUGUGUGUUUUAAAUCCUAACAGUACGGGUCCUAUUGACCAAUAUAUUGUAUUAUCUAUUCUCAGAGAGAAAGUCGCCUGCUGCUAAUUCCUAGGUGUCUAGGAGUUCUGCCUGCUGAAUUGCCGUCAAAAUGAGACAGAGCCCAGCAGUUGUCAGCUGUCCAGCAAGGGUCCAUGAGAGCAUCCAAAUAAGCAUCCCUCUUCUCUGCAAAGGAGCCAACAUUCUGAAGCCCCUCAAGGGGGGACGAAGCAGGCCCUGAGCCUGACCCUCCACCUGGAAGUUCAAGGUAAACAGACCAUUGUAAGGAGAGGGAGUGGUUGACAGGACCCAGAGAAAGGGACUCAGGCAAUCAAAAUUAAAAUCACACCAGUCAUAAUAAUAGUGGUGCAUUGACUGAAUACUUGGUAUGUGCCGGGCUCCAUAUUAGGAACUGUAAAUGGAUUGCCUCAUUUAAUUCUCCUUAUUUCACAAGUGAGAAUAUGGAGGCCAGGAGAUAUUAAGGGACUUGUCUAAGGAAUUAUAUGGCAGAGUUGGUGAUAUGGUUUGGCUCUAUGUCCCCACCCAAAUCUCACCUUGAAAUGUAAUAAUCCCCAUUUGUCAAGGGUGGGGCCAGAUGGAGAUAACUGAAUCAUGGGGAGCACUUUCCUCCAUACUGUUCUCUUGGGAGUGAAUAAGUCUCAUGAGAUCUGAUGGUUUUAUAAAUGGGAGUUCUUCUGCACAAGCUCUCUUGCCUACCACCAUGUAAGAUGUGACUUUGCCCCUCCUCUGCCUUCCACCAUGAAUUUGUGAGGUCUCCCCACUCAUGUGGAACUGUGAGUCCAUUAAACCUUUUCCUUUAUAAAUUACCCAGUCUUGGCCAGGCGCAGUGGCUCACACCCAUAAUCCUGGUACUUUGGGAGGCCAAGGUGGGCAGAUCACAAGGUCAAGAGAUUGAGACCAUCCUGACCAAUAAGUUGAAACCCCAUGUCUACUAAAAAUACAAAAAUUAGUUGGGUGUGGUGUCGUGUGCCUGUGACCCCAGCUACUUGGGGGGCUGAGGCAGGAGAAUCACUUGAACCUGGGAGGUGUAGGUUGCAGUGAGCCAAGAUCACACCACUGUACUCCAGCCUGGUGACAGAGCGAGACUCUGUCUCAAAACAAAAAUGAAAACGAAAAAUUACCAGUCUUGGGUAUGUCUUUAUUAGCAGCAUAAGAACAAACUAAUACAGUCGGGUUUACAGCCUACAAGAUCUCAACCUUUUUCUCAUAGAGAGUUUCUGCUUCCUCUGGUGUCUUCCAAGGACUGUAAGAAUCUGCCUUGUUAGUCUCUCAGGGAUCAAGCCUUAGAGCUUGGCUCCUUGCCUUAGGAGAGUAAGUCUAUCCCACUCAUGCAAAGUAAUCAGUAAAGUGUAUUCUUGGGCAAGUUGUUAAAAGAGAAACAAGCACUUGUCAUACUUUUGGCUGCUCAGCAUCUGAACUCCCUUCUUAAGUUCCACUUUUGUGUGAGCCUUCAUAGAAAGCAG